GACGAACGCUGGCGGCGUGCUUAACACAUGCAAGUCGAACGAAGUGGCGAACGGGUGAGUAACGCGUAAUCAACCUGCCCUUAAGAGGGGGACAACAGUUGGAAACGACUGCUAAUACCGCAUACUGAAGGAGGGGAUUGCGUGUGAUUAGCUAGUUGGAGGGGUAACGGCCCACCAAGGCGAUGAUCAGUAGCCGGUCUGAGAGGAUGAACGGCCACAUUGGGACUGAGACACGGUCCAGACUCCUACGGGAGGCAGCAGUGGGGAAUAUUGCACAAUGGGCGAAAGCCUGAUCCAGCCAUACCGCGUGGGUGAAGAAGGCCUUCGGGUUGUAAAGCCCUUUUGUUGGGAAAGCGGUACCCAAAGAAUAAGCACCGGCUAACUUCGUGCCAGCAGCCGCGGUAAUAC
rnacentral:rRNA from 1 species